AGCAGUCGCCACGGGAAUACGGAGGGUGCAAGCGUUAAUCGGAAUUACUGGGCGUAAAGCGCACGCAGGCGGUCUGACAAGUCAGAUGUGAAAUCCCCGGGCUUAACCUGGGAACUGCAUUUGAAACUGUCAGGCUGGAGUCUUGUAGAGGGGGGUGGAAUUCCAGGUGUAGCGGUGAAAUGCGUAGAGAUCUGGAGGAAUACCGGUGGCGAAGGCGGCCCCCUGGACAAAGACUGACGCUCAGGUGCGAAAGCGUGGGGAGCAAACAGGAUUAGAUACCCGCGUAGUCCCUGUCUCUUAUAC
rnacentral:rRNA from 1 species